AAAAAGAAACCCUAAUUUCUAUUUAGAAGAGGCGUUGCUUUGACGCAGGACACAGACAACGUGGAUGAAAUAGAUAUAUAAAAUAAACAAAACCCUUAAAAUCUGAAAUUCGAAAUUCCGGAUCCACCGCCACAGAGCCCUAACUUCUCUAUCUCUCCGUCGGCGAAGCACUAGUAGCGUUUCUUCUCAAUCUGUGCGAUGAAGAAAGGAGCGAAGAGAAGGGGUGCCUCCAAAGCAGGAGGUGGCCGCAAAGGUGCUGCUGUCGCGGAGAGACAGAACGACGAGGUGAUUGCCGAGUCUCUCGAGGCGUCGACGCAGGAGGAGAGUCAACAACAGCCUAAGGAGGCAGUCGCCGAGGAGAACGGAGAAGAGGUCAAGGAGAAUCAGGAAGAGGAAGUUAAACCGGAGGAGCCUGAUUCGUCGAAGCAGGUCGAUGUCGCUUCGUCUUCUCAGCAAAAGGAGGAGGAGGAUGUAGAGGUAGAUAAGAAGAAACCUGCUGGUCGAGGUGGUGGUAAGCGAAAGAGGACAGCGAAGAAGGAUGUCGAAGUGAAGGAGGAGAAGAAACCUGCUCCCAGAGCUAAGAAAGCUCGAGUGGCUAAGCCACAGGAAGAGCCUGAGUACUUCGAGGAUGAGCGUAAUCUGGAGGGUUUGUGGAAGGCUGCAUUUCCAGUGGGAACUGAGUGGGACAAGUUGGAUGCAGUUUAUCAAUUCAAUUGGGAUUUCAAAAAUCUUGAAGAAGCAUUGGAGGAAGGUGGUUUGCUCCACGGGAAGAAGGUCUUUGUUUUUGGCUGUACGGAACCUCAGUUAGUCCCUUACAAAGGCGCAAACAAGAUUGUCCUUGUCCCGGCCGUUGUUGCUGUUGAGUCACCCUUUCCACCUUCUGAUAAGAUAGGAGUCACGUCGGUUCAGAGAGAGAUUGAGGAAAUCCUUCCAAUGAAGACGAUGAAAAUGGACUGGCUUCCUUACAUUCCGUUUGACAAAAGAGGUAGACAAGUUGAUAGGAUGAACUUUCAGAUUUUUGUCAUGACCUGUACACAGAGGAGAGCUGCUCUCAGACAUAUGAAGGAAGAUCGUGUUAAGAAGUACGAGUACUGCCUUCCAUAUUUCUAUCAGCCAUUUAAGGAAGAUGAACUCGAACAGAGUACUGAGGUCCAAAUAAUGUUCCCCUCUGAACCGCCGGUUGUAUGUGAGUUUGAUUGGGAGUUUGACGAACUUGAGGAAUUUGUUGAUAAACUGAUUGAAGAGGAAGCCUUAUCUGCAGAGCAAAAGGAUGAGUUCAAAGAGUAUGUCAAAGAGCAAGUUCGAGCUGCAAAGAAAGCUAAUCGAGAGGCUAGAGAGGCCCGAAAGAAAGCAAUAGAAGAAAUGAGCGAAGAUACUAAGCAAGCUUUUCAAAGCAUGAAGUUCUACAAAUUCUACCCUCAGCCUUCACCAGAAACACCAGAUGUCAGUGGCGUCAAGUCGCCGUUCAUCAACAGAUACUAUGGAAAGGCUCAUCAAGUCCUUUGAUAUCUCAAAUCUUGAGAACCCGGAAUAGCUUUUCUUGGCCGCUUCAAUAGCAGUGAAACUUAUAUUUAAUCAGGACGGUGUUGCCGCGUUGCACUUCUCCGUCACGUAUCGACGUUGCGUCACACGAAGAAGGUGGGUUUGGUACGAAUUUUCUGAAGAAAGGAAAAAAAAAAGACAGAACGACUCCACGACAUGCCAUUGUCUUUUCCAGUCUGUUUCUUUUACUUAUCUGCAAACUAAUCAUAUUCCUUCCACCAUGUCUUCUUUUUCUUCUAUAUAAAUAUAUUUCUAAUU